AAAGAUAUAAUUUAUCUCCAGUUGGUGGUGUGGUUGAUAGAGGAAAAUAGAUGUAAAUUUUUGUUAGGUUUUCUAGUUUAAAGAACAAAAAAGCUCUUUUUUCAGUGUGUAACAUUAAAAGAAUUAAUUUAUUAAUUUUUGGUUACUUUUUUUUAAAAAAACAGGGGAAUAAUGUUGUGCCAGCAUUCGCGGUUAAACAAUACCCUAAAACUAGACAUUUUGGGUGGGUGAAGUCUUUAGAUGUUAAUGAUUUUAUAUAUUAAUUUAGGUGAAAUUUAUUAAUAUAUUUUUUUUUUAUAUGUCUUUAAAAUCUUGAUUUAAACUAGGAUUAGAUACCCUAUUAUUCAAGUAUAAUAAUUAGUAACUCUAGGAUUAAUAGUUGAGAAAGUGAAAUUAAAAGAUUUUGGCGGUUUAUCAAUCUUUUUAGAGGAAUCUGUGUUUUAAUUGAAAUCCCACAAUUUAUUAUACCUUUAAUUUUCUUGUAUAUCUCUGUCGUUGAAUGUAUUGGGAGAUAAUUUUCUUUUUUUUUUGGAAAAUUAUGUUAGGUCAAGGUGCAGUUAUUUAUUGGAUAAUGUGGAUUACAUUAAUUUUUGUUUGUUAAUUUUUGUUUAAAUGUUGAUUUUAAAUUUAAUUGGAUUUAAUAGUAAUUUUGUUUUUUAAAUUUUAUGAAUAAAUUUUUGUUCUGGUUUAUGUACAUAUUGCCCGUCACUCUCAUUUAUUGAGAUAAGUCGUAACAAAGUAGGUGUAUUGGAAAAUGUAUCUAGUUG
rnacentral:ncRNA from 1 species